rnacentral:rRNA from 1 species
CGCCCUUGCGGAUCCGCGGCCGCUGAGAGUUUGAUCCUGGCUCAGGAUGAACGCUGGCGGUCUGCUUAACACAUGCAAGUCGAACGGAGUGCUUCGGCACUUAGUGGCGGACGGGUGAGUAACGCGUGAGAAUCUGCCCUUAGGACGGGGACAACAGCUGGAAACGGCUGCUAAUACCCGAUGUGCCGAGAGGUGAAACAUUUUAUGGCCUGAGGAUGAGCUCGCGUCUGAUUAGCUAGUUGGUGGGGUAAGGGCCUACCAAGGCGACGAUCAGUAGCUGGUCUGAGAGGAUGAUCAGCCACACUGGGACUGAGACACGGCCCAGACUCCUACGGGAGGCAGCAGUGGGGAAUUUUCCGCAAUGGGCGCAAGCUGGACGGAGCAAGACCGCGUGCGGGAGGACGGCCUAUUGGUUGUAAACCGCUUUUGAUAGGGAAGAAGCACUGACGGUACCUAUCGAAUCAGCAUCGGGCUAACUCCGUGCCAGCAGCCGCGAUAAUACGGAGGAUGCAAGCGUUAUCCGGAAUUAUUGGGCGUAAAGCGUCCGUAG